AUGAUGUUCCUGGAUGGUUGCUUCCUGCUGCAGUAUAUGCACGGCCUGGUGCAGCAUAAUGAUGGUUCUAUCAAUGCAGAAUUCGCAUUGUUCGCGAACCGGGCGGUCCUAUCCACGGGGCCUUGCAUGUUGAGGGACAUCUUUAUGCUGGAGAACCAGCUCCCGUGGUUGGUGCUCGAGGCUCUCAUGACCUUUACCCAUGUUCCUGUGUGUCAGUUCGUUGCCUCCAUGGCGUUCAUCUUUGACGCUGGCUCCACUCUAACAAGGUUUCCCGAGGAUGAACUCAGGAGGUACAGGCCACCACAUCUCCUCGAGUUCCUCCGGUAUUAUCUCAUAGGCAACAUGCCUCCCACAUAUCCUAACUAUGAAUUUGUCAAACACUUAGCGCUAGCGAGCAGUGCAAUCGAGCUCGCGGAAAUCGGAGUCCAGCUAACGGCCAGUAAUAAGAGAUGGUUCGACAUGAGCAUCCGGAAAGGAUACCUCGCUGGUGAGCUCUCCCUGACACAAUUGUUCCUGAACGACUACACUGCUAGUUGGCUCGUCAACAUGGCAGCGCUCGAAGCGUGCACGUCCACCGGCUGGCCGUCCGAUGGCUACACCAUCAGCUCCUAUAUCUCACUCCUGGCGAUGCUCAUGGACAAGGAGGAGGACGUGCACGAGCUGAGAGCUAAGCACCUCGUGCGUAGCUUCUUCAGCAACCAAGAGAUGCUAGACUUGUUCAAGGGCCUCGCUUGCCACUUGCGCCUCGGCGGCCGCUACUUCGACAUCCUGAAGAAGAUUGAUGAUUACAAGCGUGGCAGGCCUGUGCGGAUCGUCGUGCAUAAGUUCUUGUACAAGUACUUCAAGAACAUCGUUGCUGUGCUCUCUAUCGCCGGGGUGCUGGUCGGAGUCUUCAAAACCAUCCUGAGUCUCAAGCAAUAUUAA
rnacentral:rRNA from 1 species